rnacentral:rRNA from 1 species
UGGGGAAUAUUGCACAAUGGGCGCAAGCCUGAUGCAGCGACGCCGCGUGAGGGAUGACGGCCUUCGGGUUGUAAACCUCUUUCAAUAGGGACGAAGCGCAAGUGACGGUACCUAUAGAAGAAGGACCGGCCAACUACGUGCCAGCAGCCGCGGUAAUACGUAGGGUCCGAGCGUUGUCCGGAAUUACUGGGCGUAAAGAGCUCGUAGGUGGUUUGUCGCGUUGUUCGUGAAAACUCACAGCUUAACUGUGGGCGUGCGGGCGAUACGGGCAGACUAGAGUACUGCAGGGGAGACUGGAAUUCCUGGUGUAGCGGUGGAAUGCGCAGAUAUCAGGAGGAACACCGGUGGCGAAGGCGGGUCUCUGGGCAGUAACUGACGCUGAGGAGCGAAAGCGUGGGGAGCGAACAGGAUUAGAUACCCUGGUAGUCCACGCCGUAAACGGUGGGUACUAGGUGUGGGUUUCCUUCCUUGGGAUCCGUGCCGUAGCUAACGCAUUGAAGUACCCCGCCUGGGGAGUACGGCCGCAAGGCUAAAACUCAAAGGAAUUGACGGGGUCAUAGCUGUUUCCU